rnacentral:rRNA from 1 species
GACAGAGGAUGCAAGCGUUGUCCGGAAUUAUUGGGCGUAAAGAGCUCGUAGGCGGUUUGUCGCGUCUGCUGUGAAAACUGGGGGCUCAACCCCCAGCCUGCAGUGGGUACGGGCAGACUAGAGUGCGGUAGGGGAGAUUGGAAUUCCUGGUGUAGCGGUGGAAUGCGCAGAUAUCAGGAGGAACACCGAUGGCGAAGGCAGAUCUCUGGGCCGUAACUGACGCUGAGGAGCGAAAGCAUGGGGAGCGAACAGG